AUUGAACGCUGGCGGCAUGCUUUACACAUGCAAGUCGAACGGUAACAGGGAGCUUGCUCCGCUGACGAGUGGCGAACGGGUGAGUAAUGCGUCGGAACGUGCCGAGUAGUGGGGGAUAACGCAGCGAAAGUUGUGCUAAUACCGCAUACGUACUGAGGUAGAAAGUGGGGGACCUUCGGGCCUCACGCUAUUCGAGCGGCCGACGUCUGAUUAGCUAGUAGGUGAGGUAAAGGCUCACCUAGGCGACGAUCAGUAGCGGGUCUGAGAGGAUGAGCCGCAAACCUGGGACUGAGACACGGCCCAGACGGCUACGGGAGGCAGCAGUGGGGAAGUUUGGACAAUGGGCGAAAGCCUGAUCCAGCCAUGCCGCGUGUCUGAAGAAGGCCUUCGGGUUGUAAAGGACUUUUGUCGGGGAGGAAAUCCUUUGAGUUAAUACCUCGGGGGGAUGACGGUACCUGAAGAAUAAGCACCGGCUAACUACGUGCCAGCAGCCGCCGCCG
rnacentral:rRNA from 1 species